GUUCUCGCUUCGGCAGCACAUAUACUAAAACUGGAACGAUACAGAGAAGAUUAGCAAGACCCCUGCGCAAGAAUAACUUCACAAAUAUCCAUUAUACUGUUUA